AGAACACACCUAAACCACUUGAGUUUUCAGGCACAGUCUCUGCACCUGCUAAAUCUUGGGAUUAAUUCCUGAAGGGCUACUUCCUAAUACCUUGCUGUGAACAGUAUAAAUGACAGACUCAUUCAAUUUUGUUUUGGUACUGGGGACUGAACUCAGGA